rnacentral:rRNA from 1 species
CUACGGGCGGCAGCAGUGAGGAAUAUUGGACAAUGGGGGAAACCCUGAUCCAGCAAUGCCGCGUGAAUGAAGAAGGCCUUAGGGUUGUAAAGUUCUUUCACUCGUGAAGAUGAUGACGGUAGCGAGAGAAGAAGCCCCGGCUAACUCUGUGCCAGCAGCCGCGGUAAGACAGAGGGGGCUAGCGUUGUUCGGAAUAACUGGGUGUAAAGGGUGCGUAGGCGGUUGUUUAAGUAAAGUGUUAAAGCCCUGGGCUUAACCCAGGAAUCGCAUUUUAAACUGGACAGCUAGAGUGUGGUAGAGGAAAGUGGAAUUCCUAGUGUAGAGGUGGAAUUCGUAGAUAUUAGGAGGAACACCAGAGGCGAAGGCGGCUUUCUGGACCACAACUGACGCUGAGGCACGAAAGCGUGGGGAGCAAACAGGAUUAGAUACCCGCGUAGUC